GUUUGUUAAAUGACUCAUUCUGGGGAAAUGUGGUACACAUGGAGAAGUUCUUGGAGACUAAAAACAAUAAUCAGGGAAGUAAGCAGAGUAAGGAGAUAGAAAACAGCUACUCUAGAGAGACGGACAGAGCAUGAGCAUGGGAGGGGCAGAGAGAGAAGGAGACACAGAAUCAAAAGCAGGAUCCAGAGUCUGAGCUGUCAGCACAGAACCCGAUGUGGGGCUCGAACUCACAGACCACAAGAUCAUGACCUGAGCUGAAGUCGGAUGCUCAACCGACUGAGCCACCCAGGCACCCCGAUAAUUGGAAUUUACUAAGAUUUUAGCACAGCAAAAAACUGUUCAUCUAAAUAAAUGGAUGGAAAUGGAAGAA